rfam:Suillus luteus TH-Slu-Lm8-n1 unplaced genomic scaffold CY34scaffold_79, whole genome shotgun sequence.
GCUGAUAUGGCCGAGUCGUUAAGGCGAGUGAUUUGAAUUCACAUCAUCACUUGGGCAUUGCCCGCGUAGGUUCAAAUCCUGCUGUCAGCG